rnacentral:rRNA from 1 species
UACGUAGGGGGCGAGCGUUGUCCGAAGUUACUGGGCGUAAAGAGCGCGUAGGCGGGUCUUUAAGUGAGUGGUGAAAGGUUCGGGCUUAACCCGGACACUGCCUUUCAUACUGGAGGCCUUGAGUGCGGGAGAGGCGAGUGGAAUGGUCGGUGUAGCGGUGAAAUGCGUAGAUAUCGAUCGGAACACCCAUGGCGAAGGCAGCUCGCUGGCCUGCAACUGACGCUGAGGCGCGAAAGCGUGGGGAGCAAACAGG